GACAGAGGGUGCAAACGUUGUUCGGAAUUACUGGGCGUAAAGAGCUCGUAGGCGGUUUGUUGCGUCGGCUGUGAAAUCCCGAGGCUCAACCUCGGGUCUGCAGUCGAUACGAGCAAACUAGAGUGUUGCAGGGGAGACUGGAAUUCCUGGUGUAGCGGUGAAAUGCGCAGAUAUCAGGAGGAACACCGGUGGCGAAGGCGGGUCUCUGGGCAACAACUGACGCUGAGGAGCGAAAGCGUGGGGAGCGAACAGG
rnacentral:rRNA from 1 species